AAAGGAAAAAAUUACACAGACCUCUCCCUUGUAGUCUUUGAAAUUACUCUACACUCUCUUACUUUAUCUGAUAACAGACACAAACCUCCUAAUUGUUAGCAAACCGUUAAAAACAAUAACGAAAUAUUUUAAUGUCAGUUAAUUAUUAUGUGUUAAUGUCAAUAAUGUCUUUCCCUCUGUUCUUCAAAUCUCUCUUUAAAAUUACACAUACCUCUACUAGGAAAUUAUAUAUAAUAUAAUUAGUAGGUUUUAAACAUAUAAUUAGCACGAACCAAUAAAUUGAAUACAAAUAUAUGUAUGUAGAGUUCAUAGUACCUAUAUAUAUCUAUAUGUAAACAUAUACUUAUUUAUUGUUUUAAAGUUGAGCUCCUUUAUAAACUAAAAAAAUAUUCUAAUAAAAAAAUCAAAGCUAAUUUUGAUUUCCCUUGUGACAUUGAUUUUUUUUAAAAUAUGUGAGCAUAGAAAGUGCGAAGUGCUAUAUUCUCCUAAAAAAUAUGCCACGCAAGAUAUCAAUAAUAAUUAAAGUAUACAUAAUAUAUACAGUAAAAAGUUCUAGGUUUCAUUAGAGUUCAAACUUAAAGGCCUAGUUUGGUCUUGGGAAGGUAUGACACUCAGUUGCGAGGAGCGCUGAUAGAAGUGCUCGUUUAGAUCACUGACACUUGGAAGGUUGUGCAGUCAGGGACUGCAACGAAGGUUUAGAUUGUUGCAUUGUGCUUCGGACGCUAGAAGGAUCGUUGCAUUUGAUAUUGGAAAUACAUCGCAUCAGAAAACAAAGGUUGCACUGGUGAGGUUGAAGAAGAAAUGG
rnacentral:lncRNA from 1 species